GGAGGGGAGUGAAAUAGAUCCUGAAACCGCAUGCUUACAAAAAGUCGGAGCCCGCAAGGGUGACGGCGUACCUUUUGUAUAAUGGGUCAGCGACUUACAUUCAGUGGCGAGGUUAACCGAAUAGGGAAGCCGUAGAGAAAUCGAGUCCGAAUAGGGCGUUCAGUCGCUGGGUGUAGACCCGAAACCAAGUGAUCUACCCAUGGCCAGGAUGAAGGUGCGGUAACACGCCCUGGAGGUCCGAACCCACUAAUGUUGAAAAAUUAGGGGAUGAGCUGUGGGUAGGGGUGAAAGGCUAAACAAACUUGGAGAUAGCUGGUUCUCUCCGAAAGCUAUUUAGGUAGCGCCUCAAGUAUUACCAUCGGGGGUAGAGCACUGUUAUGGCUAGGGGG
rnacentral:rRNA from 1 species